rnacentral:tRNA from 1 species
GGAACUGAAGCUCAUCAGGAUGAGCGCCCGGUUGAAGCCCGGGAGGCAGCAGGUUCGACUCCUGCGAGUUCCA